UACCGCAUUUGUUACUUAGUAAUUAAAGGAAAUCGAAAGAUUUUCGCUAAUCGAGAGGGAUAAGUCGUAUUAGCUAGUUGGUAGGGUAAUGGCCUACCAAGGCAAUGAUGCGUAGCCAGUCUGAGAGGAUGAAUGGCCACAAGGGAACUGAGACACGGUCCCUACUCCUACGGGAGGCAGCAGUGAGGAAUUUUCCGCAAUGGGGGAAACCCUGACGGAGCAAUACUACGUGAAGGAAGAAGGUCUAAGGAUUGUAAACUUCUGUUAGCGCGGAAGAAGAGUUAAUAGCUUUGACGGUACGCGCAGAGAAAGCCACGACUAACUAUGUGCCAGCAGUCGCGGUAAGACAUAGGUGGCGAACGUUAUCCGGAAUUAUUGGGCGUAAAGGGUGCGUAGAUCGCAUGAUAAGUUAUCGGUGGCAAAUCGAGGCCCAACCUCGUGGAAGUCGAUAAUACUGUUAUGCUUGAGUUCAGAAGAGGUUGAUGGAACUCCAUGUGGAGCGGUAAAAUGCGUAGAUAUAUGGAAGAAUGUCGAUAAAGGCGAAGGCAGUUAACCAUUCUGUUACUGACGUUGAGGCACGAAAGCGUGGGGAGCAAAAAGGAUUAGAUACCCUUGUAGUCCACGCCCUAAACGAUGAGUACUAGGUAUUGGGUAUAAACUCAGUGCCGCAAGUUAACACAUUAAGUACUCCGCCUGGGUAGUACGCUCGCAAGAGUGAAACUCAAAGGAAUUGACGGGGACUCGCACAAGCAGUGGAGCAUGUGGUUUAAUCCGAUACAACGCGUAGAACCUUACCAAGGCUUGACAUGCAACGCAAAAACAAGGAAACUUGUCAGAGGUCAUCGUUGCACAGGUGCUGCAUGGCCGUCGUCAGUUCGUGCCGUGAGGUGUAUGGUUAAGUCCUAUAACGAACGUAACCCUUGUACUUAGUUACUAACA
rnacentral:rRNA from 1 species